rnacentral:rRNA from 1 species
CUACGGGAGGCAGCAGUCGAGGAUCUUCGGCAAUGGGCGCAAGCCUGACCGAGCGACGCCGCGUGCGGGAUGAAGGCCUUCGGGUUGUAAACCGCUGUCAGGGGGGAUGAAAUCACAGUGGGUACUCCCAUUGUGUUGACAGAGCCCCAGAGGAAGCGCGGGCUAAGUUCGUGCCAGCAGCCGCGGUAAUACGAACUGCGCGAACGUUAUUCGGAAUCACUGGGCUUACAGGGUGCGUAGGUGGCAGAGAAAGUAGGGUGUGAAAUGCCUUGGCUCAACCAAGGCACAGCGCUCUAAACUCCUUUGCUUGAGUGAGUCAGGGGUGCACGGAACUUCCGGUGGAGCGGUGAAAUGUGUUGAUAUCGGAAGGAACACCGGCGGCGAAAGCGGUGCACUGGGGCUUAACUGACACUGAGGCACGAAAGCCAGGGGAGCGAACGGGAUUAGAUACCCUUGUAGUCC